GUGGGGAAUAUUGGACAAUGGGCGAAAGCCUGAUCCAGCCAUGCCGCGUGUGUGAAGAAGGUCUUCGGAUUGUAAAGCACUUUAAGUUGGGAGGAAGGGCAGUAAGUUAAUUCCUUGCUGUUUUGACGUUACCGACAGAAUAAGCACCGGCUAACUUCGUGCCAGCAGCCGCGGUAAUACGAAGGGUGCAAGCGUUAAUCGGAAUUACUGGGCGUAAAGCGCGCGUAGGUGGUUUUGUAAGUUGGAGGUGAAAUCCCCGGGCUCAACCUGGGAACUGCCUCCAAAACUGCAUGACUAGAGUACGGUAGAGGGUAGUGGAAUUUCCUGUGUAGCGGUGAAAUGCGUAGAUAUAGGAAGGAACACCAGUGGCGAAGGCGACUACCUGGACUGAUACUGACACUGAGGUGCGAAAGCGUGGGGAGCAAACAGGAUUAGAAACCCUUGUAGUCC
rnacentral:rRNA from 1 species